rnacentral:rRNA from 1 species
GACGGAGGAUGCAAGUGUUAUCCGGAAUCACUGGGCGUAAAGCGUCUGUAGGUGGUUCGAAAAGUCCACUGUUAAAAAUUGAGGCUUAACUUCAAAGAUGCCGUGGAAACUUUCAAACUAGAGUAUGGUAGGGGUAGAGGGAGUUUCCAGUGGAGCGGUGAAAUGCGUAGAUAUUGGAAAGACCACCAACGGCGAAAGCACUCUGCUGGGCCGACACUGACACUGAGAGACGAAAGCUAGGGGAGCGAAUGGG